rnacentral:rRNA from 1 species
GAUGAACGCUGGCGGCGUGCCUAAUACAUGCAAGUCGAGCGAACAGACGAGGAGCUUGCUCCUCUGACGUUAGCGGCGGACGGGUGAGUAACACGUGGAUAACCUACCUAUAAGACUGGGAUAACUUCGGGAAACCGGAGCUAAUCCCGGAUAAUAUAUUGAACCGCAUGGUUCAAUAGUGAAAGACGGUUUUGCUGUCACUUAUAGAUGGAUCCGCGCCGCAUUAGCUAGUUGGUAAGGUAACGGCUUACCAAGGCGACGAUGCGUAGCCGACCUGAGAGGGUGAUCGGCCACACUGGAACUGAGACACGGUCCAGACUCCUACGGGAGGCAGCAGUAGGGAAUCUUCCGCAAUGGGCGAAAGCCUGACGGAGCAACGCCGCGUGAGUGAUGAAGGUCUUCGGAUCGUAAAACUCUGUUAUUAGGGAAGAACAAAUGUGUAAGUAACUAUGCACGUCUUGACGGUACCUAAUCAGAAAGCCACGGCUAACUACGUG